CGGUGCGCCUUAUGCAUGCAAGUCGAGCGAAGCUUUUCUGUAGUUUACUACAGAAAAUGACUGAGCGGCGAACGGGUGAGUAACGCGUGAGCAAUCUACCUUAGUUACAGGGAUAGCCCGAGGAAACUCGGAUUAAUACCUGAUAUUCUUUUUUUCUCGCAUGAGUUUUAAAGGAAAGGUCAGCCGAACUAAGAUGAGCUCGCGUUCUAUCAGCUAGUUGGUGAGGUAAUAGCUCACCAAGGCAACGACGGAUAGCUGGUCUGAGAGGACGAUCAGCCACACUGGGACUGAGACACGGCCCAGACUCCUACGGGAGGCUGCAGCAGGGAAUAUUGUGCAAUGAGCGAAAGCUUGACACAGCGACACCGCGUGUGGGAUGACGGAUCUAGGUUUGUAACCACUUUCAGGAGGGAAGAAAAUGACGGUACCUCCAUAAGAAGCCCCGGCCAACUACGUGCCAGCAGCCGCGGUAAUACGUAGGGGGCGAGCGUUGUCCCGGAUUUAUUG
rnacentral:rRNA from 1 species